UACGGGGGGGCAAGCGUUGUUCGGAAUUACUGGGCGUAAAGGGCUCGUAGGCGGCCAACUAAGUCCGACGUGAAAUCCCUCGGCUUAACCGGGGAACUGCGUCUGAUACUGGAUGGCUAGAGGUUGGGAGAGGGAUGCGGAAUUCCAGGUGUAGCGGUGAAAUGCGUAGAUAUCUGGAGGAACACCGGUGGCGAAGGCGGCAUCCUGGACCAAUUCUGACGCUGAGGAGCGAAAGCCAGGGGAGCAAACGGG
rnacentral:rRNA from 1 species